rnacentral:misc_RNA from 1 species
GAUGAAGAACGUAGUGAAAUGCGAUACGUAAUGUGAAUUGCAGAAUUCAGUGAAUCAUCGAGUCUUUGAACGCACAUUGCGCCCCUGGUAUUCCGGGGGGCAUGCCUGUCCGAGCGUCAUUGCUGCCCUCAAGCACGGCUUGUGUGUUGGGCCUCCGUCCUCCUCCCGGGGGACGGGCCCGAAAGGCAGCGGCGGCACCGCGUCCGGUCCUCGAGCGUAUGGGGCUUCGUCACCCGCUCUUGUAGGCCCGGCCGGCGCUUGCCGACACAUCAAUCUUUUUUCCAGGUUGACCUCGGAUCAGGUAGGGAUACCCGCUGAACUUAAGCAUAUCAAUAAGCGGAGGA